rnacentral:rRNA from 1 species
CCUACGGGAGGCAGCAGUGAGGAAUAUUGGUCAAUGGACGCAAGUCUGAACCAGCCAUGCCGCGUGCAGGAUGACGGCUCUAUGAGUUGUAAACUGCUUUUGUACGAGGGUAAUAUCAGAUACGUGUAUCAGCUUGAAAGUGUCGUCCGAAUAAGGAUCGGCUAACUCCGUGCCAGCAGCCGCGGUAAUACGGAGGAUCCAAGCGUUAUCCGGAUUUAUUGGGGUUAAAGGGUGCGUAGGCGGUUUUAUAAGUUAGAGGUGAAAAUUCGGAGCGCAACUCCGGACGUGCCUUUAAUACUGUAUGAAUAGAGAAUAGAUGCGGUAGGCGGAAUGUAUGGUGUAGCGGUGGAAUGGGUAGAGAUCAUACAGAACACCGAGUGCGAAGGGAGCUUACCAAACUAUAUCCGACGUUGAGGCACGAAAGCGUGGGGAGCCAACAGGAAUAGAUACCCCAGUAGGC